rnacentral:piRNA from 1 species
UGGCAGCCAUUACUUAAGUAUACUUCUU